GAUGAACGCUGGCGGCGUGCCUAAUACAUGCAAGUCGAGCGAACGGACGAGAAGCUUGCUUUUCUGAUGUUAGCGGCGGACGGGUGAGUAACACGUGGAUAACCUACCUAUAAGACUGGGAUAACUUCGGGAAACCGGAGCUAAUACCGGAUAAUAUUUUGAACCGCAUGGUUCAAAAGUGAAAGACGGUCUUGCUGUCACUUAUAGAUGGAUCCGCGCUGCAUUAGCUAGUUGGUAAGGUAACGGCUUACCAAGGCAACGAUGCAUAGCCGACCUGAGAGGGUGCUCGGCCACCCCGGAACUGAGACACGUUCCAGACUCCUACGGGAGGCAGCAGUAGGGAAUCUUCCGCAAUGGGCGAAAGCCUGACGGAGCAACGCCGCGUGAGUGAUGAAGGUCUUCGGAUCGUAAAACUCUGUUAUUAGGGAAGAACAUAUGUGUAAGUAACUGUGCACAUCUUGACGGUACCUAAUCAGAAAGCCACGGCUACCUCCGUG
rnacentral:rRNA from 1 species